rnacentral:rRNA from 1 species
CCGGCGACCGGCGCACGGGUGAGUAACGCGUAUGCAACCUGCCCGUUUCAGCGGGAUAACCCGGAGAAAUCCGGCCUAAUACCGCAUGUGGCCGAGGGGAGGCAUCUUCUUUCGGCCAAAGGAGGCGACUCCGGAGACGGAUGGGCAUGCGUGACAUUAGCUAGUUGGCGGGGUAACGGCCCACCAAGCCGACGAUGCGUAGGGGUUCUGAGAGGAAGGUCCCCCACAUUGGAACUGAGACACGGUCCAAACUCCUACGGAAGGCAGCAG